GCCCCGUUGGCUCAGUGGUAAAGCGUAUCACUAGUAAUGAUAAGAUCACUGGUUCGAUUCCAGUACGGGGCA
rfam:Fusarium oxysporum f. sp. lycopersici 4287 chromosome 1, whole genome shotgun sequence.